rnacentral:rRNA from 1 species
GAUGAACGCUGGCGGCGUGCCUAAUACAUACAAGUCGAGCGAAUUGACAGAGGUGCUUGCACCUCUCGAUUUUAGCGGCGGACGGGUGAGUAACACGUGGGUAACCUACCUAUAAGACUGGGAUAACUUCGGGAAACCGGAGCUAAUACCGGAUAGUACUUAGCUUCGCAUGAAGCAAUAGUGAAAGGCGGUUCUGCUGUCACUUAUAGAUGGACCUGCGGUGUAUUAGCUAGUUGGGGAGGUAACGGCUCACCAAGGCAACGAUACAUAGCCGACCGGAGAGGGUGAUCGGCCACACUGGGACUGAGACACGGCCCAGACUCCUACGGGAGGCAGCAGUAGGGAAUCUUCCGCAAUGGACGAAAGUCUGACGGAGCAACGCCGCGUGAGUGAAGAAGGUUUUCGGAUCGUAAAACUCUGUUGUAAGGGAAGAACAAGUACGUUAGUAACUGAACGUACCUUGACGGUACCUUACCAGAAAGCCACGGCUAACUACGUGCCAGCCGCCGCGUAAUAC